AUUGAACGCUGGCGGCAGGCCUAACACAUGCAAGUCGAGCGAGCGGCGGACGGGUGAGUAAUGUAUGGGGAUCUGCCCGAUGGAGGGGGAUAACUACUGGAAACGGUGGCUAAUACCGCAUACUAUCGGAUGAACCCAUAUGGGAUUAGCUAGUAGGUGGGGUAAGGGCUCACCUAGGCGACGAUCCCUAGCUGGUCUGAGAGGAUGAUCAGCCACGGUGGUACGGAAACGCCCAGCAGACUACUGCGGGAGGCAGCAGUGGUGAAUGUUGCACGAUGGGCAGAAGCAUGAUGCAACGACGCGGCGAGUAUGAAGAAGGCCGUAGGGUUGAAAAGUACUUUCGGCGAGGAGGCGUUACCCGAAGAAGAACCACCGGCUAACUCCGUGCCAGCCGCGGUAAUUC
rnacentral:rRNA from 1 species